AGAGAUGUGUGAUGACGCAUAUCAAUAAGCGGAGGAAAAGAAACUAACAAGGAUUCCCUUAGUAACGGCGAGUGAAGCGGGAAGAGCUCAAAUUUGAAAUCUUCAAGGUUCUACCUUGACGAAUUGUAGUUUAUAGAAGUGUUUUCUGUUAGUGGAGUGGCAAAAGUUCUUUGGAAUAGGACAUCAUAGAGGGUGAGAAUCCCGUAUUUGGUCAUUCUUCUAGCGUUGUGAUACACUUUCAACGAGUCGGAUUGUUUGGGAAUGCAGUCCAAAAUGGGUGGUAAUAUUUCAUCCUAAAGCUAAAUAUUGGCGAGAGACCGAUAGCGAACAAGUACCGUGAGGGAAAGAUGAAAAGAACUUUGAAAAGAGAGUUAAACAGUACGUGAAAUUGUCAAAAGGGAAGCGUUUGACACCAGUGUUGUUUUUCCGAAAAUCAAUUACGAAUGUUUUAUUUUUGAGGAGUUAUGACUUCAUCGGCUUGCUUCCUUUCUUUACGAAACUUUCUUAAUGCACUUUUCGGUUAACAAGUCAACAUCAAUUUCUUUUGUUGUAAAAGGGUAUGAGGAAGGUGGCUUUCUUUUCGGAGAAAGUGUUUAUAGCCUUGUGCCUCUGCAAUCGGAGAGAUUGAGGUCUGCAGCGUAGAUCCUUCGGGGUUAGAUACAGUUUGUGCUAAGUUAUAGCUUUUCAUAGACAACUUGUUGACUAUAGUUUAGUCUUGUAGCUUACUCGCUGAUGCUAUUUUACCUACGCUUAGGAUGUUGAGUAGCGACAUACGCAC
rnacentral:rRNA from 1 species